rnacentral:rRNA from 1 species
AUUGAACGCUGGCGGCAGGCCUAACACAUGCAAGUCGAGCGGAGCGGCGGACGGGUGAGUAAUUCCUAGGAAUCUGCCUGGUAGUGGGGGAUAACGUCCGGAAACGAGCGCUAAUACCGCAUCCUUUCAGAUGAGCCUAGGUCGGAUUAGCUUGUUCGUGGGGUAAAGGCCUACCAGGGCGACGAUCCGUAGCUGGUCUGAGAGGAUGAACAGGCGCACUGGAACUGAGACACGGUGCAAACUCCUAGGGGAGGCAGCAGUGGGGAAUAUUGGACAAUGGGCGAAUGCCUGAUCCAGCCAUGCCGCGUGUGUGAAGAGGGUCUUAGGAUUGUAGAGCACUUUAAGUUGGGAGGCGUUACCCGCAGAAGAAGCACCGGCUAACUUCGUGCCAGCAGCCGCGGUAAUUC